GAUGAACGCUGGCGGCGUGCCUAAUACAUGCAAGUCGAGCGAACAGAUAAGGAGCUUGCUCCUUUGACGUUAGCGGCGGACGGGUGAGUAACACGUGGGUAACCUACCUAUAAGACUGGGAUAACUUCGGGAAACCGGAGCUAAUACCGGAUAACAUUUGGAACCGCAUGGUUCUAAAGUGAAAGAUGGUUUUGCUAUCACUUAUAGAUGGACCCGCGCCGUAUUAGCUAGUUGGUAAGGUAACGGCUUACCAAGGCGACGAUACGUAGCCGACCUGAGAGGGUGAUCGGCCACACUGGAACUGAGACACGGUCCAGACUCCUACGGGAGGCAGCAGUAGGGAAUCUUCCGCAAUGGGCGAAAGCCUGACGGAGCAACGCCGCGUGAGUGAUGAAGGGUUUCGGCUCGUAAAACUCUGUUAUUAGGGAAGAACAAACGUGUAAGUAACUGUGCACGUCUUGACGGUACCUAAUCAGAAAGCCACGGCUAACUACGUGCCAGCAGCCGCGGUAAUACGUAGGUGGCAAGCGUUAUCCGGAAUUAUUGGGCGUAAAGCGCGCGUAGGCGGUUUCUUAAGUCUGAUGUGAAAGCCCACGGCUCAACCGUGGAGGGUCAUUGGAAACUGGGAAACUUGAGUGCAGAAGAGGAAAGUGGAAUUCCAUGUGUAGCGGUGAAAUGCGCAGAGAUAUGGAGGAACACCAGUGGCGAAGGCGACUUUCUGGUCUGUAACUGACGCUGAUGUGCGAAAGCGUGGGGAUCAAACAGGAUUAGAUACCCUGGUAGUCCACGCCGUAAACGAUGAGUGCUAAGUGUUAGGGGGUUUCCGCCCCUUAGUGCUGCAGCUAACGCAUUAAGCACUCCGCCUGGGGAGUACGACCGCAAGGUUGAAACUCAAAGGAAUUGACGGGGACCCGCACAAGCGGUGGAGCAUGUGGUUUAAUUCGAAGCAACACGAAGAACCUUACCAAAUCUUGACAUCCUUUGAAAACUCUAGAGAUAGAGCCUUCCCCUUCGGGGGACAAAGUGACAGGUGGUGCAUGGUUGUCGUCAGCUCGUGUCGUGAGAUGUUGGGUUAAGUCCCGCAACGAGCGCAACCCUUAAGCUUAGUUGCCAUCAUUAAGUUGGGCACUCUAGGUUGACUGCCGGUGACAAACCGGAGGAAGAUGGGGAUGACGUCAAAUCAUCAUGCCCCUUAUGAUUUGGGCUACACACGUGCUACAAUGGACAAUACAAAGGGCAGCUAAACCGCGAGGUCAUGCAAAUCCCAUAAAGUUGUUCUCAGUUCGGAUUGUAGUCUGCAACUCGACUACAUGAAGCUGGAAUCGCUAGUAAUCGUAGAUCAGCAUGCUACGGUGAAUACGUUCCCGGGUCU
rnacentral:rRNA from 1 species